GUCAGGCAUUGUGCAUGUCAGGCACCGUGUAUGUCAGGCAUUGUGCAUGUCAGGCACCGUGUAUGUCAGGCACCGUGUAUGUCAGGCAUUGUGCAUAUCAGGCACCGUGUAUGUCAGGCACCGUGUAUGUCAGGCAUUGUGCAUGUCAGGCACCGUGUAUGUCAGGCAUUGUGCAUGUCAGGCAUUGUGCAUGUCAGGCACCGUGUAUGUCAGGCACCGUGUAUGUCAGGCAUUGUGCAUGUCAGGCACCGUGUAUGUCAGGCAUUGUGCAUGUCAGGCAUUGUGCAUGUCAGGCACCGUGUAUGUCAGGCCUUGUGUAUGUCGGGCACCGUUUAUGUCAGGCACCGUGUAUGUCAGGCAUUGUGCAUGUCAGGCACCGUGUAUGUCAGGCACCGUGUAUGUCAGGCACUGUGUAUGUCAGGCAUUGUUCAUGUCAGGCACCGUGCAUGUCAGGCAUUGUGCAUGUCAGGCACCGUGUAUGUCAGGCACCGUGCAUGUCAGGCACCAUGUAUGUCAGGCACCGUGUAUGUCAGGCAUUGUGCAUGUCAGGCACCGUGUAUGUCAGGCACCGUGUGCAUGUCAGGCACCGUGCAUGUCAGGCAUCGUGCAUGUCAGGCACCGUGUAUGUCAGGCACCGUGCAUGUCAGGCACCGUGCAUGUCAGGCACCGUGUAUGUCAGGCACUGUGUAUGUCAGGCAUUGUGCAUGUCAGGCACCGUGUAUGUCAGGCACCGUGCAUGUCAGGCACCGUGUAUGUCAGGCACUGUGUAUGUCAGGCAUUGUGCAUGUCAGGCACCGUGCAUGUCAGGCACGGUGUAUGUCAGGCACCGUGUAUGUCAGGCACUGUGCAUGUCAGGCAUUGUGCAUGUCAGGCACCGUGUAUGUCAGGCACCGUGUAUGUCAGGCAUUGUGCAUGUCAGGCAUCGUGUAUGUCAGGCACCGUGUAUGUCAGGCCU
rnacentral:lncRNA from 1 species